rnacentral:rRNA from 1 species
UGAGGAAUAUUGGUCAAUGGGGGCAACCCUGAACCAGCCAAGUCGCGUGAAGGAUGAAGGUCUUAUGGAUUGUAAACUUCUUUUAUACAGGAAUAAAUUGGGGGACGUGUCCCCUUUUGCAUGUACUGUAUGAAUAAGGAUCGGCUAACUCCGUGCCAGCAGCCGCGGUAAUACGGAGGAUCCGAGCGUUAUCCGGAUUUAUUGGGUUUAAAGGGUGCGCAGGCGGGAUGUUAAGUCGGCGGUGAAAUUUUGCAGCUCAACUGUGACAGUGUCUUCGAUACUGGCUUCCUUGAGUGUGGAUGAAAUAGGCGGAAUUUGUGGUGUAGCAGUGAAAUGCUUGGAUAUCACGAGGAACUCCGAUUGCGCAGGCAGCUUACUAAGCCACAACUGACGCUCAUGCACGAAGGCGUG